rnacentral:rRNA from 1 species
AACGAACGCUGGCGGCAUGCCUAACACAUGCAAGUCGAACGAGACCUUCGGGUCUAGGGGCGCACGGGUGCGUAACGCGUGGGAACCUGCACUUAGGUUCGGAAUAACUACCCGAAAGGGGUGCUAAUACCGGAUCAUGUCUUCGGACCAAAGAUUUAUCGCCUUUGGAUGGGCCCGCGUUGGAUUAGCUAGUUGGUAGGGUAAAAGCCUACCAAGGCGACGAUCCAUAGCUGGUCUGAGAGGAUGAUCAGCCACACUGGGACUGAGACACGGCCCAGACUCCUACGGGAGGCAGCAGUGGGGAAUAUUGGACAAUGGGCGAAAGCCUGAUCCAGCAAUGCCGCGUGAGUGAUGAAGGCCUUAGGGUUGUAAAGCUCUUUUACCCGGGAUGAUAAUGACAGUACCGGGAGAAUAAGCUCCGGCUAACUCCGUG